rnacentral:misc_RNA from 1 species
GUGAAUCAUCAAAUCUUUGAACGCAUAUUGCACUCCCUGGUAUUCCGGAGAGUAUGCCUAUUUGAGGGUCAUUUGACAUAAUAGACAUUCCAAGGUUUCUAGGAAUGUAAAAUGGGUUGUCCAUUUAAUGUGGUCGCCUAAUAUUCAAUACAAUCUCAUUUUAUUGGGUUGCGUGAUACUUGCAAUUACCUCGUGACUUAACCAGGAAUCAUCGGUUGUGUUAUGUAUUUUGCAAGAGAUAAAAAAUUCCAUAGAUUUAUCUCAUUCGAAAUAGAAAUCGAAUCAUGACCUCUAAUUAUGU